UAGUCCCUACGGGAGGCAGCAGUGAGGAAUAUUGGUCAAUGGGCGGGAGCCUGAACCAGCCAAGCCGCGUGAGGGAAGAAGGUACAGCGUAUCGUAAACCUCUUUUGUCAGGGAACAAAGGCGGGGACUAGUCCCCGGAUGAGGGUACCUGAAGAAAAAGCAUCGGCUAACUCCGUGCCAGCAGCCGCGGUAAUACGGAGGAUGCGAGCGUUAUCCGGAUUUAUUGGGUUUAAAGGGUGCGCAGGCGGCCUGUUAAGUCAGCGGUAAAAAUUCGGGGCUCAACCCCGUCCGGCCGUUGAAACUGG
rnacentral:rRNA from 1 species